rnacentral:tRNA from 1 species
GAUGAGGUGGCUGAGUGGUUAAGCCGACGGACUGUUAUUGCAUUGUGCUCUGCAUGCAUGUGUUUGAAUUCCAUCCUCAUCG